UCAUGGUACUACCUCCCUAUCACUCGCACACCUAGAUAUUUUCUUGCGAGCUAUAACCUAAAUUAAGGUUUGACACUUUCUGUUAACUGCAGAUCUUAAUAUAUAUUUCAGACUACCAUUUAACCCUUAUUGUAAAUUUUACCCACAUUUUUUAACCAACGUUUCUAAACCCAUUUAAUGGUUUUCGUUUUAUGUGUUGGCCUAAUUACCCGACUUCAAAAUGUUCAGAUCGAGGUUGUCCUACUUCAGGGUAGUGAGCUGCAGCAUUUUGGCGCUCAGUUGGCGCUGGAGGUUAUUCAGGCACCAUCCACAAAUUAAGUAAGAUAUAGCUCUCUUCACCGUAAUUUUGUCAAGGGGUCCGCAAUGAAAUGGACAAUUACGCCAAGAUAGGCACAUAAGAAGAUCCUCAAGAUCAGCGAUGGCGAUCGCGACGGUGCAUCGACGAGCUUGAUGAGAUGGCGCAUUGACAAGCAAAAAGUCAUGGGGAUUCCCGCUGUUCGUGAGGGGUUGUGUGAUGCGGCUAUGGGGCGGCGGAGGUCCACACAUCGAUGUGCUUGAUGAAUUGCUUACAAAUGCAUAAAAGAAAAUAUUAACAGAUCCCAGAUCACCUUAAGUACUUAGUAUGCUUAGACUAUACGGCUACUCUUAAUAACUACUGUUAAGUAGAAGGCCUACAUGUGAUCCUCCUGUUAUAGAAAAGGUGGUUACUACAUCUGUAGCUUUGUGCUUAAUCAUUUAGGCCAGUGCCAUUUUCUUGUGGUUUUGCAUCUUUCUUCUCCCCCUUCUUAAAUUUCAUAGUGAUAAUAUCCAUUGCUCAUGUUAUGUCUAGCAGCAAGGCGUCGGUGUAGGCCUGCAACGGCGGUGACAGAAGGCAGACUGUGAUUGAUCUUGAGAUUGCCUUGACCCCUGUGUCGUUUCGGCUGCUGAAUAGAAGAGCUCUAUCUUGAGAAUUCAAGGACCCCUGGGUUGAGGAGGACUCGGCCAGGGAAUGCAUUCGUUGCUGGAGUGGCGCUCAUGGACUGCCAGGUUGCAGGUAGCUAAACUUUACUGAUUCAUUCUUCCUCCUUGUAGGAAGCUACUAUUUAACAGGGACACAAGUAACAACAGGAUUCCACAUGUGAAUAAGGAUUGGAACGUGAAUGUCGACGCGAGCUCAAUACACUAUGAUCUGACCAUCUACAACAUCCAACCGUGUUUGACCCUUCCAGGUUCAAUCUGCAGAACAUGCGCGAGAAAAAUAAUCCAGGAAAAAGAAGUGCUUAACAUUGUUCUAACAGCAACUCAGCCAAUUUUACAAUACCUGGCUGGCUCAUCAGAUCCCAAGCAACUCCCCUUCAUUUUAGCCGGGAACAAGGUUUAUGUAGACACUGGAAGAAGACGAGUGGAAAAAAUGAAAGAGAAAAGAGAAUGGGCAAUUAUGACAGAAGCACGGACAUCGUGAAUCAAUGCAUAAGGCAGGUUGUAUCACUUUUCUUGAUCUGGUUGAUGGUUAGUAUUCUCUUGUUAGAAGUCGCAUCUUUGAUGUCGGGGCCUGGGAUUUUUUUUUAAUAUGCUAAUGGUCAGCCUGGAAGUCCGUGACAUGUUUUCAUAGACUGUGGUAGACCAGUUAUUAAGUGGCAUACUUUCUUCCUUGGUUUCUAUUUUAGUUCUCAGAUGUCCUCAAUAUUGCUUUGCUUCGCCAUAUCGGCUCACACUCUUGAUGCUCGAAAGCUAUUAUUUCAAAACUAUGCUCUAUCUUCAAAAGUUCAGAUGUUUGUUUAUGCUUUCUGUUUCUUCUGUUUUGGCAGGAAGCUAUUUUAAUCGUUUCUUUUGCAACAACAAGUUAAAAACUUUGUUCUUUAUAAAAUUGACCAGGAUUUGUAAACCAAUACAUUAUUAACAGUAGUUGGUGGGACCUGAAAUGUAGUAUACCUAAUUCUGCUCUGAAGAUAAAUAUUUUAAGUCACUUAUUGCGCUCUGUUACCUGUUUCCAACAAAUUGCGAAGAUGGUGAACUCAUUAUUAUAUUUUACUUUAGUGAAUAAAUUCAUAAUUGUUUCCCAUCUUUGGAUUUUUCCUUCAAAAAUUCAGAUAGUUUGGUUAUGCUUAUCUUGGUCAGACAAAUAUUACUCCUCUUUUUUCCGGAAUACAAAUAAAAAGCAUUCAUGAAGGGAGCAAGCUUUACAAAACAACAGUGUUACUGUUAGUUCAUGGGCCAUGUAGCAGAGCAUGGCUUACCCCAUUUCAAAUGUAGGUAUUUUGAAAGCAUCUACAGGUUUGGAAAAAUAGCAGGGCUUGUGAACUCGCUAUUAUCAGUUCAGGCUGCUGGUUUGAGAUUCAGAAUUGUUUCUCUUUUAUGUGCUUUGCCUUCAAAAGUGUGGAUACCUUAUUAUGUUUUCAGUUCCUUCUUUGGUUUUUACAGUUCAUUUUGAAGCUAAAAUGUUUGUUGCUUUCGUUUCCAAAAUAAAAUACAGUGAUUAUGAGAAGUGGAGGCUUUCACAAAUUGUUUAAAAAAUAGUAUUUCAAGAUUGUGUUAUCGCGUGCAUGUGUUCCCGCAUGAAAGUAACUGUUCAGUUCCAGUACUUUAGCUGCCUACCUGGGUACGCUGCUGAAACUGAUGAAUAAAAUACUGACUCAUUAUUGCAAAAGUUUCGAAUCGGUAGACCAUAAUUCUAAGUGUACCAUUUCCAUCAAUACUAUAUAGUGGUUACAUUUUAUUCAAACAGAGCUUGCAGUGUGUCUUAUACAGGCUACUAAUUUUACAUCCGUUUGCAUUGUAAGUGUGUACUAUACUGCUGCGUGAAACAACCGGCCAAGGUUCCCUUGUUCCUAUGACUAUUUCUGGAGUCAAGUCUAUGGAUAUCACCGUUGCGGGACACACCGUUGCUAUAGCAGAUACAUGGAGAAUGCAGCUAAUUUGGUGGUCAAGGAUUUGAACUACCGCUGGUUAAUGCAAAUACAAGAAGAGAACGGACAUAUUAGGAGUCAGCUCACAUAUAUCGCUGUUCGGGAACACACCGCUGAUGUAGCAGUUAUUAUCGUGUAUGCAGCACCAUUGUUUUGUGAAACCAAAAUGGAUCCAGAGCAAGGAGAAAUUGUGCUAUUACAUUGAUGAAAUGCUAUAGCACAGGUGGUGAUCUGGAAGCACAUGAUUAGCAAAUUUGCGAAAUUAUCUGAGAUCUUCAACCAUUCCAUGCUGUCUUAUGCAGUGUUGUUGGCUUCAGGUGUUAUUGGACAUAGUUAAAUUUUUGUAGAAUGUACACAUGAAUUCCACCGGCUAUGUUCUGUAAUAUAACUAUUUCAAUAUUAGAUUUAGAUGAAACAAUACUUGUUUCUA